rnacentral:rRNA from 1 species
AGCCUUUAGCCAAACAAGUAUUAGAGGUAACGCCUGCCCAGUGAGAAAACUCUUCUUAAACGGCCGCGAUAUUAAACCGUGCGAAGGUAGCGAAAUCACUUGUCUCCUAAAUAGAGACCAGUAUGAAAGGCCACAUGAGAAAGAAACUGUCUCUUGAAGACAGCCAAUGAAACUGAUCUGACUGUGCAAAAGCAGCCAUAAUAAAACAAGACAAAAAGACCCUGUGAAACUUUAAAUUACCCAUCAACAAAUUGAUGAUACUUUUAGGUUGGGGCAACCAAAGAGAAACAAAACCUCUUAUCCACAUCAGACAAACAAGUCAAAUAAUAAAACACGACCCAGUAAAACUGAUCAAUGGACCAAGCUACUCCAGGGAUAACAGCGCCAAAUUCUUGAAGAGUCCACAUCAACAAGAAUACUUACGACCUCGAUGUUGGAUCAGGGUAACCUAACAGUGCAAAAGCCGCUAGUGGUUCGUUUGUUCAACGAUUAAUAUCCU